AGUUUAAGGAAAUAAUCUUAAAUGUAUUCUGCCCAAUGAUUUUUUAAAUGGCCGCAGUACCUUGACUGUGCUAAGGUAGCAUAAUCAAUUGGCUUCUAAUUAAAGUCUGGAAUGAAAGGAAAAAUGAAGUAAUUCUGUCUUAAAAAAUUUUUUUUAAAUUUAUUUAAAUGAUGAAAAUAUCAUUUUUUAGAAAAAAGACGAGAAGACCCUUAGAGUUUUUAUUAUUUUUUUUGUUGGGGCGACAAGUAAACAAUUUAAACUUUACUAAUUUUUUUAAUCGAUUUAAUAAUAAGAUUAAUUAAACUACCUUAGGGAUAACAGCAUUAUAUUAUAUAUGAUUGUGACCUCGAUGUUGGACUAGGAACUUUAUGGCUAGCCGUCAUAAAAGAUUUGUUCUGUUCGAACAAUUUAUCCUAC
rnacentral:rRNA from 1 species